rnacentral:rRNA from 1 species
ACGUAGGUGGCAAGCGUUGUCCGGAAUUAUUGGGCGUAAAGCGCGCGCAGGCGGUCCUUUAAGUCUGAUGUGAAAGCCCACGGCUCAACCGUGGAGGGUCAUUGGAAACUGGGGGACUUGAGUGCAGAAGAGGAAAGUGGAAUUCCGCGUGUAGCAGUGAAAUGCGUAGAGAUGCGGAGGAACACCGAUGGCGAAGGCAGCCCCCUGGGCUGACACUGACGCUGAGGCACGAAAGCGUGGGGAGCAAACAGGA